GAGGCCGAAGCUUAAUUGCUAUUGAAUCAUCUGCCAGCAUAUUAAAGCAAGGCAAUGCUGUGGGUUCAAAUCCCACCGGCCUCA
rnacentral:tRNA from 1 species